rnacentral:lncRNA from 1 species
AUGGCCAUUUGGACCCAUCAGUUCAUGGAUCACCCCUGCGUGUCUGUAGGAACUUCCCACCCUGAGAACAAGCAGAGAAACGCCCUGCGGGGAAACUGGGGCUCAGGGGAGGGAACUACAAAGCUUCAGAGAGAAUCGUCUCAUAUCUGUGUGUUUCUCUGGGAUUUGCGUGCGCUUUUUUGCCUUGCAGAAGGCUUCUCGUGGACCCUCGAGCGAGUCCUCGCACCUCGGAGCUGGGUUCCUCCCAUGCAAGGGGGCGAGCAACCCUUCCUGCAGCCACCCGUGCACGGACCGAGGGUGCUCGGGUGCUGCGGGGAGGGCCGGGGAGCGACGGAUCGGCGCCGGGAAGGAUCCGGCCCCAGCUCCAGGCAGCCGCAGGCGAAGCUCGGCGCUCCCGCGGAGCGGGGAUGGAAGUUGUCAGCGCCCUCCAGGAGCGUUCUUCAAGCCUUGAAAGCGGCGCCUCUGCACCCAGGGGAAAGAUGAUUAACAAAGCUUCAAAGAGCGACGAGUUGCUUUCCUUGCUGCCCGAAGCCCCUUCCUUCUCCACCCACAUCCUGACGAGCUGCCAGUUGGUGUACACAUGCUGAUGGAAAAGCAGGACAAGGUACGAGCUGCGGGGAGCUGCCGGCAGCGCGGGGUGCGAGCCACCAGCAGCAGCCGCUCGGGUGUAAUUACACCCCCCCCGUGCGCCGGAGUGCGAUUUCCCAGUAAUUAUUCUGGAAGAAAAGCCUGCCUAUUUCUGUAAGGGCUUAUGUCACUUAGAAAGCUGUUAUAAAUUCGAGCUGGAAAAAGGGACCCUUAUUCUGGGCUAAGUGUGGUUAGUGGUUAGCUGGGAACGGGGCUAUUCCUGGCGCUGCCAGCGACCUUCCCGGUGACGCCGGGUAAAGUCACCUCACCUCCGCCUGUGGCAGCUUCUCCCGCUGCAAAGUGGGAAUUACAAACACGGGCUUUUCUCCGCCCGCAGGUUUGGGAAGCCCUGCGACGCUGGAAAAAAGGUGUCACAGCGUGGCAGGCAGUCAUUUAGCACGACCCGGC